UAGUCCACGCCGUAAACGAUGUGUGCUAGUUGUCGGGUCCAUAGGAUUCGGUGACGCAGUUAACGCACUAAGCACACCGCCUGGGGAGUACGGUCGCAAGAUUAAAACUCAAAUGAAUUGACGGGGGCCCGCACAAGCGGUGGAGCAUGUGGUUUAAUUCGACGCAACGCGAAGAACCUUACCAGCUUUUGACAUCCUGGUCGCGGAUUUGGGAGACCAUUUCCUUCAGUUCGGCUGGACCAGUGACAGGUGCUGCAUGGCUGUCGUCAGCUCGUGUCGUGAGAUGUUGGGUUAAGUCCCGCAACGAGCGCAACCCUGUUGUUAGUUGCCAGCAUGUAAAGAUGGGAACUCUAACAAGACUGCCGGUGCAAACCGUGAGGAAGGUGGGGAUGACGUCAAAUCAUCACGGCCCUUACGUCCUGGGCUACACACGUGCUACAAUGGUAGGGACAGAGAGCAGCCACUUCGCGAGAAGGAGCGAAUCUAUAAACCCUAUCACAGUUCGG
rnacentral:rRNA from 1 species